rnacentral:rRNA from 1 species
UACGGAGGGCGCAAGCGUUGUUCGGAAUUACUGGGCGUAAAGCGCGUGUAGGCGGCCUGACAAGUCGAAUGUGAAAUCCCGGAGCUCAACUCCGGAACUGCAUACGAUACUGUUAGGCUCGAGUCUCGGAGAGGAUGGCGGAAUUUCCGGUGUAGAGGUGAAAUUCGUAGAUAUCGGAAGGAACACCAGUGGCGAAGGCGGCCGUCUGGACGAUGACUGACGCUGAGACGCGAAAGCGUGGGGAGCAAACAGG